AACGUAGGUGGCGAGCGUUAUCCGGAUUUACGUGGCGUAAAGCGUGUGCGAGGCGGGGAGACAAGUGGAUGUACUGAAAUUUCCCGGCUUAACCGGGAAGGGUUAUGCCAGACUCGUCUUUCUGGAGUGCGAGAGAGGGGCGUGGAAUUCCGGGUGUAGUGGUGAAAUGCGUAGAGAUCCGGAGGACCCAGAGGCGAAGGCGGCGAGCCCUGGCUCGCAACGUGACGCUCAGA
rnacentral:rRNA from 1 species